rnacentral:rRNA from 1 species
AUUGAACGCUGGCGGCAUGCUUUACACAUGCAAGUCGAACGGUAACAGGCCUUCGGGUGCUGACGAGUGGCGAACGGGUGAGUAAUGCAUCGGAACGUACCCAGAGGUGGGGGAUAACGCAGCGAAAGCUGUGCUAAUACCGCAUGUGAUCUGAGGAUGAAAGCGGGGGACCGAGCAGCAAUGUUUGGCCUCGCGCCUUUGGAGCGGCCGAUGUCGGAUUAGCUAGUUGGUGGGGUAAAGGCCUACCAAGGCGACGAUCCGUAGCUGGUCUGAGAGGACGACCAGCCACACUGGGACUGAGCCACGGCGCAGACUCCUACGGGAGGCAGCAGUGGGGAAUUUUGGACAAUGGGCGCAAGCCUGAUCCAGCAAUGCCGCGUGCGGGAAGAAGGCCUUCGGGUUGUAAACCGCUUUUGGCAGGAACGAAACGGUGUCCGCUAAUACCGGGCGCUAAUGACGGUACCUGCAGAAUAAGCACCGGCUAACUACGUG